rnacentral:rRNA from 1 species
UACAGAGGUCCCAAGCGUUGUUCGGAUUCACUGGGCGUAAAGGGUGCGUAGGCGGUCGGGUAAGUCUGAUGUGAAAUCUCACAGCUUAACUGUGAAACUGCAUUGGACACUAUUCGGCUUGAGAGUUGGAGGGGGGACUGGAAUUCUUGGUGUAGCAGUGAAAUGCGUAGAUAUCAAGAGGAACACCAGUGGCGAAGGCGAGUCCCUGGACAACUUCUGACGCUGAGGCACGAAAGCUAGGGGAGCAAACAGG